UGACCACACGUUACCGUCAAGACCGAGGGCAAUGGGCAACUCAGAAUCGAAAUUGGCGUCAUCGACAAUGGAGAACAGUGCUUUUUUCUGAUGAAAGCCGAUAUUGUGUUUCGACAGCCGAUGGCAGAGUGAGAGUAUGGUUAAGGCGUGGAGAAUGGUUUUCCAAUGAGUGUUUUGUUGAAAAGAGACUCGUGGGUGGUCCAAGCAUCAUGGUGUGGGGUGCAAUCGGUCUGAACCAGA